rnacentral:lncRNA from 1 species
GAGAGAGAAAGAAAGAAAGAGAGAUAGUCCAGUGAUAUACCAUGGAUUUUACCCACUUUUAGCCAUGGUAUAUAAGUGUUUUUAAAUACAUUAUAGUUGUUUUGGAGUCUUUUUAAUAUGUUUUCAGGUUUAGGUGCGUUUUGGAGGAAAGUGGUGAUUUAGGGUCUUUUGGAGCCUUGUGAGUGCAUAACUGCACAUACUUGUCAGAUGUUUAGAUAUGGAUGGAAACCUUCCCACGAUGAUAUUGAGCCUAUCGUUUUACCCAAGAUAUAUCUUUG